rnacentral:rRNA from 1 species
UAGGUUAAUGAGGCGAACCGGGGGAACUGAAACAUCUAAGUACCCCGAGGAAAAGAAAUCAACCGAGAUUCCCCCAGUAGCGGCGAGCGAACGGGGAGGAGCCCAGAGCCUGAAUCAGUGUGUGUGUUAGUGGAAGUGUCUGGAAAGGCGCGCGAUACAGGGUGACAGCCCCGUACACAAAAAUGCACAUGCUGUGAGCUCGAUGAGUAGGGCGGGACACGUGGUAUCCUGUCUGAAUAUGGGGGGACCAUCCUCCAAGGCUAAAUACUCCUGACUGACCGAUAGUGAACCAGUACCGUGAGGGAAAGGCGAAAAGAACCCCGGCGAGGGGAGUGAAAAAGAACCUGAAACCGUGUACGUACAAGCAGUGGGAGCCAUGGUGACUGCGUACCUUUUGUAUAAUGGGUCAGCGACUUAUAUUCUGUAGCAAGGUUAACCGAAUAGGGGAGCCGAAGGGAAACCGAGUCUUAACUGGGCGUUAAGUUGCAGGGUAUAGACCCGAAACCCGGUGAUCUAGCCAUGGGCAGGUUGAAGGUUGGGUAACACUAACUGGAGGACCGAACCGACUAAUGUUGAAAAAUUAGCGGAUGACUUGUGGCUGGGGGUGAAAGGCCAAUCAAACCGGGAGAUAGCUGGUUCUCCCCGAAAGCUAUUUAGGUAGCGCCUCGUGAAUUCAUCUCCGGGGGUAGAGCACUGUUUCGGCAAGGGGGUCAUCCCGACUUACCAACCCGAUGCAAACUGCGAAUACCGGAGAAUGUUAUCACGGGAGACACACGGCGGGUGCUAACGUCCGUCGUGAAGAGGGAAACAACCCAGACCGCCAGCUAAGGUCCCAAAGUCAUGGUUAAGUGGGAAACGAUGUGGGAAGGCCCAGACAGCCAGGAUGUUGGCUUAGAAGCAGCCAUCAUUUAAGAAAGCGUAAUAGCUCACUGGUCGAGUCGGCCUGCGCGGAAGAUGUAACGGGGCUAAACCAUGCACCGAAGCUGCGGCAGCGACACUGUGUGUUGUUGGGUAGGGGAGCGUUCUGUAAGCCUGUGAAGGUGUGCUGUGAGGCAUGCUGGAGGUAUCAGAAGUGCGAAUGCUGACAUAAGUAACGAUAAAGCGGGUGAAAAGCCCGCUCGCCGGAAGACCAAGGGUUCCUGUCCAACGUUAAUCGGGGCAGGGUGAGUCGACCCCUAAGGCGAGGCCGAAAGGCGUAGUCGAUGGGAAACAGGUUAAUAUUCCUGUACUUGGUGUUACUGCGAAGGGGGGACGGAGAAGGCUAUGUUGGCCGGGCGACGGUUGUCCCGGUUUAAGCGUGUAGGCUGGUUUUCCAGGCAAAUCCGGAAAAUCAAGGCUGAGGCGUGAUGACGAGGCACUACGGUGCUGAAGCAACAAAUGCCCUGCUUCCAGGAAAAGCCUCUAAGCAUCAGGUAACAUCAAAUCGUACCCCAAACCGACACAGGUGGUCAGGUAGAGAAUACCAAGGCGCUUGAGAGAACUCGGGUGAAGGAACUAGGCAAAAUGGUGCCGUAACUUCGGGAGAAGGCACGCUGAUAUGUAGGUGAAGUCCCUCGCGGAUGGAGCUGAAAUCAGUCGAAGAUACCAGCUGGCUGCAACUGUUUAUUAAAAACACAGCACUGUGCAAACACGAAAGUGGACGUAUACGGUGUGACGCCUGCCCGGUGCCGGAAGGUUAAUUGAUGGGGUCAGCGCAAGCGAAGCUCUUGAUCGAAGCCCCGGUAAACGGCGGCCGUAACUAUAACGGUCCUAAGGUAGCGAAAUUCCUUGUCGGGUAAGUUCCGACCUGCACGAAUGGCGUAAUGAUGGCCAGGCUGUCUCCACCCGAGACUCAGUGAAAUUGAACUCGCUGUGAAGAUGCAGUGUACCCGCGGCAAGACGGAAAGACCCCGUGAACCUUUACUAUAGCUUGACACUGAACAUUGAGCCUUGAUGUGUAGGAUAGGUGGGAGGCUUUGAAGUGUGGACGCCAGUCUGCAUGGAGCCGACCUUGAAAUACCACCCUUUAAUGUUUGAUGUUCUAACGUGGACCCGUGAUCCGGGUUGCGGACAGUGUCUGGUGGGUAGUUUGACUGGGGCGGUCUCCUCCUAAAGAGUAACGGAGGAGCACGAAGGUUGGCUAAUCCUGGUCGGACAUCAGGAGGUUAGUGCAAUGGCAUAAGCCAGCUUGACUGCGAGCGUGACGGCGCGAGCAGGUGCGAAAGCAGGUCAUAGUGAUCCGGUGGUUCUGAAUGGAAGGGCCAUCGCUCAACGGAUAAAAGGUACUCCGGGGAUAACAGGCUGAUACCGCCCAAGAGUUCAUAUCGACGGCGGUGUUUGGCACCUCGAUGUCGGCUCAUCACAUCCUGGGGCUGAAGUAGGUCCCAAGGGUAUGGCUGUUCGCCAUUUAAAGUGGUACGCGAGCUGGGUUUAGAACGUCGUGAGACAGUUCGGUCCCUAUCUGCCGUGGGCGCUGGAGAACUGAGGGGGGCUGCUCCUAGUACGAGAGGACCGGAGUGGACGCAUCACUGGUGUUCGGGUUGUCAUGCCAAUGGCACUGCCCGGUAGCUAAAUGCGGAAGAGAUAAGUGCUGAAAGCAUCUAAGCACGAAACUUGCCCCGAGAUGAGUUCUCCCUGACCCUUUAAGGGUCCUGAAGGAACGUUGAAGACGACGACGUUGAUAGGCCGGGUGUGUAAGCGCAGCGAUGCGUUGAGCUAACCGGUACUAAUGAACCGUGAGGCUUAACCUU